ACCUCUGUUGCUGUUACCUCCACUGAUAAAGACAGGUGAUUCUGGAUUGAGUUUUAUGGGUGGUCUAAAGGCAUGCGUCUUCACAAGCACUGGGUACUGGAACAGAUAAUCGACUGCUGUGACAGAGCUAGCCAAAGAAUGAUUUCCCUUCCACAAUGUGAAAUUGUUUCUAGGAAGGAGCUGUCCAGCAAGGGACUGACUAUCCCAGGAGCCUUGCAUCUAGGGACAUGCCAGAGAUGAUGAUGCUCCACAGCACCAGAGUUCAAGCAAAACAGAAUGGUUGAUAUUUUUAUGUCACAUUCCUGAAGUGAGAAACUGAUUGGUCCAGUUGGUCUAUGGUAACACACAGUAUCAUGAACAUGGACAUAGAGUCUGUCACCCUGCCCACUGUGGCUUCAGGAGAAAGAGAAAGAGCUAAGGAAAUAAAGGAGAUAUGCUGACAUUUUGAUAGAGUGGAAAUCAAUACCUAUAUUUCCAGCAUUACCUACGGAGACAGAGAGUUUUCCAGGCUGGCAGGCUUUACUGCAACCUCUGAAGGUGUUAACAUGUUAAGAGAAAGACUAUGUGGACCAGAGGAAGCAGAACCUUACAGAAGCAAAGGGAAAAAGGCAGAUACAAAGGAGAUCGCAGGUCUGUGUUUCACAAGCACCUGGGAUGUUUGUUUGAAAUGUUGAUGACUGGCCCCACCUCCAUCCUAGUAAAUCAGAAUCUCUGGGAAUAGAGUCCACAAAUUUGAAUUUUAGCAAGCUUCUUGGAUCUUUUUUCAGCCCAUUAACUUGUGGAAAUAUUAAUUCAGAUGUGACUUUCCCCAGAGCUGCAGGGGGAAGGGCCUCACUGUGGAGAUGAGCAUUCAG